UGGGGAAUAUUGGACAAUGGGCGAAAGCCUGAUCCAGCCAUGCCGCGUGUGUGAAGAAGGCCUUUUGGUUGUAAAGCACUUUAAGUGGGGAGGAAAAGCUUAUGGUUAAUACCCAUAAGCCCUGACGUUACCCACAGAAUAAGCACCGGCUAACUCUGUGCCAGCAGCCGCGGUAAUACAGAGGGUGCAAGCGUUAAUCGGAAUUACUGGGCGUAAAGCGAGCGUAGGUGGUCAUUUAAGUCAGAUGUGAAAGCCCCGGGCUUAACCUGGGAACUGCAUCUGAUACUGGAUGACUAGAGUAGGUGAGAGGGAAGUAGAAUUCCAGGUGUAGCGGUGAAAUGCGUAGAGAUCUGGAGGAAUACCGAUGGCGAAGGCAGCUUCCUGGCAUCAUACUGACACUGAGGUUCGAAAGCGUGGGUAGCAAACAGGAUUAGAUACCCUGGUAGUCCACGCCGUAAACGAUGUCUACCAGUCGUUGGGUCUUUUAAAGACUUAGUGACGCAGUUAACGCAAUAAGUAGACCGCCUGGGGAGUACGGCCGCAAGGUUAA
rnacentral:rRNA from 1 species